CCUACGGGAGGCAGCAGUAGGGAAUCUUUCACAAUGGGCGAAAGCCUGAAGGAGCAACGCAGCGUGCAGGAUGAAGGCCCUCGGGUUGUAAACUGCUUUUAUAAGCGAGAAAUAUGAUGGUAACUUAUGAAUAAGGAUCGGCUAACUACGUGACAGCAGCCGCGGUCAUACGUAGGAUCCGAGCAUUAUCCGGAGUGACUGGGUGUAAAGAGUUGUGUAGGUGUGAUAAUAAGGAGCUAGUGGAAUCUGGGUGCUUAACCAUUCAGACUAUUAGCUAAACUGGUAAGCUCGAGACCGUUAGGCGUAAGUGGAAUUUGUAGUGUAGGAGUGAAAUCCGUAGAUAUUAGAAGGAACACCGAUAGCGUAGGCAGGUUGCUGGGACGGUUCUGACACUAAGGCACGAAGGCGUAGGGAGCAAACGGGAUUAGAUACCCGAGUAGUC
rnacentral:rRNA from 1 species